UAUUUUUAUUUAUUUAUUUAUUUGUUUAUUUAUUUAUUUAUUUUGUGAGGAAGAUCAGCCCUGAGCUAACAUCCAUGCCGAUCCUCCUCUUUUUGCUGAGGAAGACUGGUCCUGGGCUAACAUCCGUGCCCAUCUUCGUCCACUUUAUGUGGGAUGCCGCCACAGCAUGGCCUGACAAGCAGUGUGUCGGUGUGCGCCCCGGAUCCGAACCGGGGCCGCCAGCAGUGGAGCACGCGCACGUAACCAUUACGCCACAGGGCCGGCCCCUGCCUAUGUUUUAAAUCAAAUAAUCUCAACCAUAUCUUCCAAAUUUGGUUUAAAGAUAUCCAUACAGAUGUUUUCUAGUGGCAUAGUGUUAGACAAAACCUAUCUAUUUAUUUGAUUACCAAACAUUAAUUCUUUUCAUCUUCCUGUAAAUUGCCUCCUUUCCCUUUGAAGGCCUAGAUCCCUGCCCCUUCUCCUUUAGUCCAGAAUGAGAUACCUCAUUUUUGCCUGACAGUCUUUGGAAUUUUUCAUGCUUGUGUGAAUUCCUCGUGCACAUGUAUUAAACUGAUUUUCUCCUGUUAACUUGCCUUAUCUCAUUUUAAAUAUUGUACCAGCCAUGAGAACCAAGAGGGGAAGGGGGAUAUUUUUCCCUCCCCCUACUAGUUUUAGCAUAGUCAGCAGGAUACUCAUUAGCUGGCAAGAUCUUCUCUGGCUGGAAAAAAAACUGCCUUCUCUGGCUGGAACUGCUUUCUCCCAAGAACUGCUGCAGAUGAAAAGAUUCUGCGUUGUCUGACAAAGGCCAGCAAGGGAUCAUAAAACUGAGCUGGGUGAAAAAUGACAGAACUCUAAUAAACAUGGCAUCAUAAAACUGCUAACACAAGAUCAAGAAUUGAUUACAUGGAACUGAAUGAACUGAUGAUGAUGAUUAUAAUUUUUAUGACUUUUUGUUUGAAACAUUGCUGAUUUUUUAAACCUUUUUCUCUUUUCUUCUAAGCUGUCUAUAACUAACAACAAUUUGGUAAAUUAUACCUUUGUAAGCAGAAUUGAAACAUUUAUCUUUUUCUUGUUACCUGAUCCCUCCAGAGUUUGGAAACUCUUAGUGAGUGAGUAUUCUUAUUUUCAUGGCAAUAUAGUUAUUUACAUAAGUUCAAUAAGAAUCUGUUCUCCUUAUAAUAGGACACAAUUGGAAACAUUAGUUAUAUUACCAAGGCUUUGACUGGAAUGUCAUAUUUGAGAGAGACAUGCGUAGACUCAGAUAUGACCAAACAGCUUUAAGGAACUGAGGAACUUUAUGGAGCCAAGUAAAGCCCCUUGGAAAAACAGCCUGAUACCUUGCUUGCUUCCAGGGUUUUCAGCAGCCUAUCUAGAACUAAAGCUGCCCUUUUCCUGAAGCCCUGCAAACUGAAGCUGAACAACUUGAUAUAAACUUAAGGGAGAUCACCACAAUAGCCCAUGUUUAGACAAUUUUCGUGCUUGUUGCUGUGUAAGCCACUGGGAAUGUUACUUAUACACCCAAUGACAUCAUCAGAGACAUUUCCAACUGCAAAAGAUGCUUCAACCCUGACAUCCAGAAAUCUUGGCUGGCUGUCUUCUGGGCUCAGAAACUGGUUUAUAAUUUGCUCCAACCAUUAACUUUUGUUUUUCUUUUGUUUCCAUACAAAUGCCUCUUAUUGAAUACCUGAUUGCUUGCUUGCACAAUAUUUUGGGAGCCCACCUCCAUCACCACUUCCUGAGAUGAAUUUAACUGGGCUGACCUGUUGUCACGACUAAGACUGUUUCAUUGAGAUGGAGCAAUCUAUCAAUUUAGCUCCUGGAUUACGAAACUUCUUGUUUGAAGUUUCAAAAGGGGUACUUUACAAAGGGGAACAAAAUGUGCCACCCCAAAAUGUGUCUCUUUAACUUGAGGACUAUUUUUGGGCUGAUUAUUUUUAAGAACUAAAGACUCGAGAAGAAACUCUCAUCUUCCCCUUAACUGCCUAAAAGAACAUAAGAUAAAAGGCCUGUUCCAGAGACAACCCACCAGCUGGGAGAAAAUAUUUGCAAAACAUAUCUCUGACAAGGGGUUAAUCUCCAUAAUAUAUAAAGAACUCACACAACUGAACAACAAAAAACAAACAACCCGAUCAAAAAAUGGGCAGAGGAAAUGAACAGACACUUCUCCAAAGAAGAUAUACAGAUGACCAAUAGGCACAUGAAAAGAUGUUCAGCAUCACUAAUCAUCAGGGAAAUGCAAAUCAAAACAACACUAAGAUAUCACCUCACGCCUGUUAGAAUGGCUAUAAUCACCAAGACAAAAAACAACAAAUGUUGGAGAGGAUGUGGAGAAACAGGAACCCUCAUACAUAGCUGGUGGGAAUGCAAACUGGUACAGCCUCUAUGGAAAAUGGUAUGGAGAUUCCUCAAAGAAUUAAAAAUAGAAAUACCCUAUGAUCCAGCUAUCCCACUACUGGGAAUGUUUCCAAUGAACUGAAAUCAACAA